CACUUUGCUGAAGUAUUCCUUUGAAUUUGGCAAACAUAUACUAAGAUUAGUAUGGCCCCUGUGCAAGGAUGACACACAAAUUCGUGAAGUGUUCCUUUUUUUU
rnacentral:snRNA from 1 species